GAUGAACGCUGGCGGCGUGCUUAAUACAUGCAAGUCGAACGAGAGUACCUUGUAGCAAUACGGGGCGCUCUAGUGGCGAAUGGGUGCGUAACACGUAGGUGACCUGCCCCGAAGUGUGGAAUAACAGUUCGAAAGGACUGCUAAUACCGCAUGUGGUCCUGGAGGUUAGAGGCUCCGGUCUAAAGCUGCUCGCAAGAGUGGCGCUUCGGGAGGGGCCUGCGGCCCAUCAGGUAGUUGGUAGGGUAACGGCCUACCAAGCCAUCGACGGGUAGGGGAUCUGAGA
rnacentral:rRNA from 1 species